UACGGGGGGAGCAAGCGUUGUUCGGAUUUACUGGGCGUAAAGGGCGCGUAGGCGGUCAGCACAAGUCAGUUGUGAAAUCUCCGGGCUUAACUCGGAAAGGUCAACUGAUACUGUGCGACUAGAGUGCGGAAGGGGCAACUGGAAUUCUCGGUGUAGCGGUGAAAUGCGUAGAUAUCGAGAGGAACACCUGCGGCGAAGGCGGGUCUCUGGGCAUCUCCUGACGCUGAGGCGCGAAAGCGUGGGGAGCAAACGGG
rnacentral:rRNA from 1 species